rnacentral:snoRNA from 1 species
AUCCCAUGAUGAGGGCAUUCCCUUUGGUACUCUUUAAAUCGGUCCCAAGCUUCAAAAAGUGGUUCAUCCCUCUUUUUCUCAAAGGAUUGAAUCUUGUGGCGAU